rnacentral:tRNA from 1 species
GCCCAAGUGGUGGAAUUGGUAGACACGCUACGUUGAGGGCGUAGUGGUCGCAAGGCCGUGCUGGUUCGAGUCCAGUCUUGGGCACCA